rnacentral:rRNA from 1 species
AAACCAACAGGGAUUGCCCCAGUAACGGCGAGUGAAGCGGCAACAGCUCAAAUUUGAAAUCUGGCCCCCAGGGCCCGAGUUGUAAUUUGUAGAGGAUGCUUUUGGCGAGGCGCCUUCCGAGUUCCCUGGAACGGGACGCCACAGAGGGUGAGAGCCCCGUCUGGUCGGAUGCCAAGCCUAUGUAAAGCUCCUUCGACGAGUCGAGUAGUUUGGGAAUGCUGCUCAAAAUGGGAGGUAUAUGUCUUCUAAAGCUAAAUACCGGCCAGAGACCGAUAGCGCACAAGUAGAGUGAUCGAAAGAUGAAAAGCACUUUGAAAAGAGGGUUAAAAAGUACGUGAAAUUGUUGAAAGGGAAGCGCCUAUGACCAGACUUGGGCCCGGUGAAUCAUCCAGCGUUCUCGCUGGUGCACUUUGCCGGGCACAGGCCAGCAUCAGUUUGGCGCGGGGGACAAAGGCUUCGGGAAUGUGGCUCCCCUCGGGGAGUGUUAUAGCCCGUUGCGCAAUACCCUGCGCCGGACUGAGGUACGCGCUCCGCAAGGAUGCUGGCGUAAUGGUCAUCAGCGAC